GUCUAGUAUAGCAUCUAUACGGUGAACUGCGAAUGGCUCAUUAAAUCAGUUAUCGUUUAUUUGAUAGUACCUUACUACUUGGAUAACCGUGGUAAUUCUAGAGCUAAUACAUGCUAAAAGGCCCGACUUCGGAAGGGUCGUAUUUAUUAGAUAAAAAACCAAUGCCCUUCGGGGCUCCUUGGUGAUUCAUAAUAACUUAACGAAUCGCAUGGCCUUGUGCCGGCGAUGGUUCAUUCAAAUUUCUGCCCUAUCAACUUUCGAUGGUAGGAUAGUGGCCUACCAUGGUUUCAACGGGUAACGGGGAAUUAGGGUUCUAUUCCGGAGAGGGAGCCUGAGAAACGGCUACCACAUCCAAGGAAGGCAGCAGGCGCGCAAAUUACCCAAUCCCGACACGGGGAGGUAGUGACAAUAAAUACUGAUACAGGGCUCUUUUGGGUCUUGUAAUUGGAAUGAGUACAAUUUAAAUCCCUUAACGAGGAACAAUUGGAGGGCAAGUCUGGUGCCAGCAGCCGCGGUAAUUCCAGCUCCAAUAGCGUAUAUUAAAGUUGUUGCAGUUAAAAAGCUCGUAGUUGAACCUUGGGCCUGGCUGGCCGGUCCGCCUCACCGCGUGCACUGGUCCGGCCGGGCCUUUCCUUCUGGGGAGCCGCAUGCCCUUCACUGGGUGUGUCGGGGAACCAGGACUUUUACUUUGAAAAAAUUAGAGUGUUCAAAGCAGGCCUAUGCUCGAAUACAUUAGCAUGGAAUAAUAGAAUAGGACGUGUGGUUCUAUUUUGUUGGUUUCUAGGACCGCCGUAAUGAUUAAUAGGGAUAGUCGGGGGCAUCAGUAUUCAAUUGUCAGAGGUGAAAUUCUUGGAUUUAUUGAAGACUAACUACUGCGAAAGCAUUUGCCAAGGAUGUUUUCAUUAAUCAG
rnacentral:rRNA from 1 species